GGCGGGGCGGGGACCGUCGCCUGCUGGGACCGCCGCCUGCUUGGACCGCAGAAGAGCAGGAGGACUUCUGAGCCAUGCUCGCGGCGAUGGGCUCUCUGGCGGCUGCCCUCUGGGCAGUGGUCCAUCCUCGGACUCUCCUACUGGGCACUGUCGCCUUUCUGCUCGCUGUUGACUUUCUCAAAAGACGGCGCCCAAAGAACUACCCGCCGGGGCCCUGGCGCCUGCCCUUCCUUGGCAACUUCUUCCUUGUGGACUUCGAGCAGUCGCACCUGGAGAUUCAGCUGUUUGUGAAGAAAUAUGGGAACCUUUUUAGCUUGGAGCUUGGUGACAUAUCUGCAGUUCUUAUUACUGGCUUGCCCUUAAUCAAAGAAGCCCUUAUCGGCAUGGACCAAAACUUUGGGAACCGCCCCGUGACCCCUAUACGAGAACAUAUCUUUAAGAAAAAUGGAUUGAUUAUGUCAAGUGGCCAGGUAUGGAAGGAGCAAAGAAGGUUCACUCUGACAGCACUAAGAAACUUUGGUUUAGGAAAGAAGAGCUUAGAGGAACGCAUUCAGGAGGAGGCCCAACACCUGACUGAAGCAAUAAAAGAGGAGAACGGACAGCCUUUUGACCCUCACUUCAAGAUCAACAAUGCAGUUUCCAAUAUCAUUUGCUCCAUUACCUUUGGAGAACGCUUUGAGUACCAGGAUAGUCAGUUUCAGCAGCUGCUGAAGUUACUGGAUGAAGUCACAUACCUGGAGGCUUCAAAGACAUGCCAGCUCUACAAUGUCUUUCCAUGGAUAAUGAAAUUCCUGCCUGGACCCCACCAAACUCUCUUCAGCAACUGGAAAAAACUGAAAUUGUUUGUUUCUCAUAUGAUUGACAAACACAGAAAGGAUUGGAAUCCUGCAGAAACAAGAGACUUUAUUGAUGCUUACCUUAAAGAAAUGUCAAAGCACACAAGCAAUCCUACUUCAAGUUUCCAUGAAGAAAACCUCAUCUGCAGCACCCUGGACCUCUUCUUUGCUGGAACCGAGACAACUUCCACAACUCUGCGAUGGGCUCUGCUUUAUAUGGCCCUCUACCCAGAAAUCCAAGAAAAAGUACAAGCUGAGAUUGACAGAGUGAUUGGCCAGGGGCAGCAGCCGAGCACAGCCGUCCGGGAGUCCAUGCCCUACACCAACGCUGUCAUCCAUGAGGUGCAGAGAAUGGGGAACAUCGUCCCCCUGAACGUUCCCAGGGAAGUGACAGUUGAUACCACUUUGGCGGGGUACCACCUGCCCAAGGGGACCAUGAUCCUGACCAAUUUGACGGCGCUGCACAGGGACCCCACAGAGUGGGCCACCCCUGACACGUUCAAUCCGGACCAUUUUCUGGAGAACGGACAGUUUAAGAAAAGAGAAGCCUUUAUGCCUUUCUCAAUAGGAAAGCGGGCAUGCCUCGGAGAACAGUUGGCCAGGACUGAGCUGUUUAUUUUCUUCACUUCCCUUAUGCAAAAAUUUACCUUCAGGCCCCCAAACAAUGAGAAGCUGAGCCUGAAGUUUAGAAUGGGCAUCACCAUUUCCCCAGUCAGUCACCGCCUCUGCGCUGUUCCUCGGGUGUAAUGUUGUUAAGAAAGAAAGGGACAAGGAAAGUAAGAAGACAUGGCAUGUGUUCUGAAGCCACUGGUGCCUGCUCAGAUGUGUUGGGACAAAACGAAAGUGACUUUCAAGAAAGAUCAGAGGAAUUUGACUCAGAGAAAACUAGAUCCAAAUCCCAGCUCUACUGUCUCGUCCAAAUUAGCCUUGGGAAAAUAAUUUAUGUGCUAAAUAGUUUACCUUUUUAUGUAGGAGAUGAAAAGAGGAUAAUGAUUCCUUCCAUAAAGAAAGCUCUUGUAAGAAUCAAAAGAAAUGAUGGGCAGUACACACCUGUUACUUGGGGGAAUAAGUGUAAAAACACUGGGAACUCAUCCUGACCUGAUAAAUGCAAUGGAACCCAGGGCCAAAUAGGAUGUGAGCACCAUUAACCAGAAACCUUGCGGAAUAGAUGACUGUGAGUAACUGAAUUUUCUGGCCAUAUAAAAUAUCUCCUUUUUCUCAAAGCCCAUGGAGAGGCUCUAAAAUAUGAGCCCCUGUUUUGCCCAAGCACUUCCUGUCCCACACAAAGAUUCUGUUCUAUAUGCACUUUUGUAAUUCUCCUUUUCCCCCAUCUAUUUUGGGAGCUCCAGGGCCCCUGACCCCCUUCUGUUGUAUCAGGGGGUCUGAUGACAUGUGGUGUGCAAGCAAUAUAACAUGAUCUGUGGUAUCGUGGAUGAAGAAUGGAUUUACCAAGAGGUACCCAGGCUGUGGAUCUUCUCUCCACCACUCUCCUACAAAGAGAUGCAGACACAUACAUGCUGCAAUGUAAAUUUAAAACCAGGUUGGAGGUUGAGGGACUUAUAGCAGAGGAGGAGCAGGACACACAGGAUACCCUGAGUUGUUAGGGAAGUGUGCUUGGGUCAGGCAUAGUGGGGCUGCAUGCACCCAGGAGAGGUCCAGGAGGAGGACUGACCUCACAGUGCCUAAUAUGGUUUGGCUGUGUCCCCAUCCAAACCUCAUCUUGAAUUUUAGCUCCCACAAAUCCUAUGUGUUGUGGGAGGGACCUGGUGGGAGGUAAUUGAAUCAUGGGGGCACGUCUUUCUCAUGCUACUCUCAUGAUAGUGAAUAAGUCUCAAGAGAUCUGAUGGGUUUAUAAAGGGGAGUUCCCCUGCACAAAUUCUCUUCUCUUGCCUGCUGCCAUGUAAGAUGUGCCUUUCACCUUCCACUACGAUUGUGAGGCUUCCCCAGCCCCUUAGAACUGUGUAGGUCCAUUAAACCUCUUCUUUUGUAAAUUGCCCAUUCUCAGGAAUGUCUUUGUCAGCAGUAUGAAAAUGGACUAAUACAGUAAAUUGGUACCAGUAGAGUGGGGUGCUGCUGAAAAAAAUACCUGAAAAUGUGGAAGUAAAUUUCGAACUAGGUAACAGGCAUAUGUGGAAACAGUUUGGAGGGCUCAGAAGACAGGAAAAUGUGGGACAGUUUGAAACCUUCUGGAGACUUGUUGAAUGGCUUUGACCAAAAUGCUGAUAAUGAUACGGACAAUGAAAUCCAGUCUGAGGUGGUCUCAGAUGGAGAUGAGGAACUUGUUUGGAACUGGAACAAAGGUAACUCUUGUUAUGUUUUAGCAAUGAGACUGGCAGCAUUUUGCCCCUGCCAUAGAGAUUUGUGGAACUUUGAACUUGAGAGAGAUGAUUUAGGAUAUCUGAUGGAAGAAAUUUCUAAGCAGCAAAGCAUUCAAGAUGUGACUUGAGUGCUGUUACAGGCAUUCAGUUUUAUAAGGGAAGCAGAGCAUAAAAGUUUGGAAAAUUUCCAGUCUGACAACGUGACAGAAAUGAAAAUCCCAUUUUCUGAGGAGAAAUUCAAUUGACUGCAGAAAUUUGCAUAAGUAACAAGGAGCUGACAACUGGGAAAAUGUCUCUUGGGACUGUCAGAGGUCUUCACAGCAGUCCCUCCCAUCACAGGCCUGGAGGCCUAGGAAGAAAAGACAGUUUCGUGGGCUGGGCCCAGGGUCCCUCUGCUGUGUGCAGCCUAGGAACUUGGUGCCCUGAAUUCCAGCUGCUCCAGCCAUGAUUGAAAGGGGUCAAGGUGCAGCUCAGGCCAUGGCUUCAGAGGGUGCAGGCCCCAAACCUUGGCAGCUUCCACAUGGAGUUGAGCCUGUGGGUGCAUAGAAAUCAAGAACUGAGGUUUGGGAACCUCUGCCUAGAUUUCAGAGGAUGUAUGGAAAUACCUGGAUGCCCAGGCAGAAGUUUGCUGCAGAAAUGGAAUGCUCACGGAGAACCUCUGCUAGGGCAGUGUGGAAGAGAAAUGUGGGGUUGAAGUCCCCACACAGAGUCUCCACUGGGGCACUGGCUAGUGGAGCUGUGAGAAGAGGGCCACUGUCCUCCAGACCCCAGAAUGGUAGAUCCACUGAUAGCUUGCACCAUGUGCCUGGAAAAACUGCAGACACUCAAUGCCAACCUGUGAAAGCAGCCAAGAGGGAGGCUAUCCCCUGCAAAGCCACAGGGGUGGAGCUGCCCAAGACCAUGGGAACCCACCUCUUUCAUUAGUAUGACCUGUAUGUGAGACAUGUAUUCAAGGGAGAUCAUUUUGGAGCUUUAAGAUUUGACUGCUCUGUUGGAUUUUGGACUGGCAUGGGGCCUAUGGCCACUUUGUUUUGGCCAAUUUCUCCCAUUUGGAACAUUGGUAUUUCCUCAAUGCCUGUACCUGCAUUGUAUCUAGGAAGUAACUAACUUGCUUUUCAUUUUACAGGCUCAUAGGCAGAAGGGACUUGCCUUGUCUUAGAUGAGACUUUUGACCGUGGACUUUUGAGUUAAUGCUGAAAUGAGUUAAGACUUUUAAGGACUGUUGGGAAGGCAUGAUUGGUUUUGAAAUAUGAGGAUGUGAGAUUUUGGAGGGACUGGGGCAGAAUGAUAUGGUUUGGCUGUGUCCCCACCCAAAUCUCAUCUUGAAUUGUAGCUCCCAUAAUUUCUACGUGUUGUGGGAGGGACCGAGUGUGAGAUAAUUGAAUUAUGGGGGUGGGUCUUUCCCGUGCUAUUCUUGUGAUAGUGAGUUCUCACAAGAUCUGAUUAUUUUAUAAAGGGGAGUUUCCCUGCACAAGCUCUCUUCUCUUGUCUGCUGCCAUGUGAGAUGUGCCUUUCACCUUCUGCCAUGAUUGUGAGACCUCCCCAGCCACUUGGAACUGUGAGUCCAUUAAACCUCUUUCUUUCUGUAAAUUGCACAUUCCUAGGAAUGUCUUUAUCAGCAGCAUGAAAAUGGACUAAUACAGUGCCCUACGUAUUUAUAGACAGGAGGCAGGGCUGACUAGGUGACUAAGUAGCAAGGACAGCUUCCUGGGUGAAGAAGCAACUUUGUUAGA